rnacentral:rRNA from 1 species
UACGUAGGGAGCAAGCGUUGUCCGGAAUCAUUGGGCGUAAAGCGCGCGUAGGUGGCUUCGUAAGUCCGUUGUGAAAGUCAAAGGCUCAACCUUUGAAUGCCGAUGGAUACUGCGGAGCUAGAGUACGGAAGAGGCGAGUGGAAUUCCUGGUGUAGCGGUGGAAUGCGCAGAUAUCAGGAGGAACACCUGCGGUGUAGACGGCUUUCUGGACCAUAGCUGACGCUGAGACACGAAAGCGUGGGUAGCAAACAGG